rnacentral:tRNA from 1 species
GGGCGCGUAGCUCAGGUGGUUAGAGCGCACGCCUGAUAAGCGUGAGGUCGG